GGGGACCUAUGCCGGCUGUCUACUGGAUGCAACUCCAUCCCGUCCGACUCACCGGCCUAGCAGUUUUGGGGAACAUGGUGCAUGUGCCACUACCUUAAGAAACUCGCAACUUUCCUCUGGCAAAGAAGCGCUUGGGCAACACAGAUAAUGGACCUCCUCUUCGAGCGGGUGCGAUGGAAUGUUGCACCCGUCGAGGAGUUCCAGUGGCUCAGGCUGAUGCUGUUCGUCGCUGUCCCAUUCCCAGGCACCGGAGCAUGGACUGGCACCAUCAUCUCGUCCGUCCAUGGCAUGCCAUUCUGGUCAGGCUUGUCCGCGAAUUUCGUGGGAGUGGUUCUUGCAGGGUUGCUGAUAAACUUGCUCAUGAACCUUGGUCUGAAGUACACCACUGGCAGUGGAGUACUCCUCUUUAUUGUAUCAACUAUCGUGUGGGGUGCCCUUCGGGGUACCAAGAAAUCGUUGAAUCCACACCGAAGUGUUUUCGGUGUGCUUUGUAUGUCCAUUAGAGGAGUUUGUAAUAACGGCUGCGCGGCAUGUUUGAUUGGUUGCAAAGACCGUUUUCUGCUUUUCCUCUGUGUAGUAAACUUUGAGUUCA